rnacentral:rRNA from 1 species
CCUACGGGCGGCAGCAGUGGGGGAUAUUGCACAAUGGGGGGAACCCUGAUGCAGCGACGCCGCGUGGGUGAAGAAGCGCCUCGGCGCGUAAAGCCCUGUCAGCAGGGAAGAAAAUGACGGUACCUGAAGAAGAAGCCCCGGCUAACUACGUGCCAGCAGCCGCGGUAAUACGUAGGGGGCAAGCGUUAUCCGGAUUUACUGGGUGGAAAGGGGGCGCAGACGGCGAUGCAAGCCAGGAGUGAAAGCCCGGGGCCCAACCCCGGGAGUGCUCUUGGAACUGCGUGGCUGGAGUGCAGGAGGGGCAGGCGGAAUUCCUGGUGUAGCGGUGAAAUGCGUAGAUAUCAGGAGGAACACCGGUGGCGAAGGCGGCCUGCUGGACUGCAACUGACGUUGAGGCCCGAAAGCGUGGGGAGCAAACAGGAUUAGAUACCCCAGUAGUC